UCGUUCUCGUGAAACCGUGUACGUCUAAGUCCAAAAUGUAAACAAACGUUUAGGUGAUUCCGGUGGUUAGUGAGUGGUGGUCCACGACGUCAAUCAAAACAGAACGCGUCCGCAGCCAGGACUUGGACGCGAAUACCUUCGAAGGAGGAUGGUGCGGAACAAGGUUAGGGGAUUAGGGGAAAGUUGGUUUUCAAAAGGAUGAGGCCAGCUUCCUGCCGGAUCUGCAGCUGUUUCACGACCGAAAUGGGACGCCGUUUAUGCGGAUGUGAAUUGGCACCGGUUGUAUUCGAUAAAGUUAAUUUUAACGGUGAGGAGAAGGAUCCGACGGAAGAGGGAAACGACGAGAAGCGAUCGGAGGUGGUCAGCGCGGAUGUUGCACUCGGUGCCGGCGGUUUACGACUAUCAGCAGCAUUAUGUGCCGGAAGUGAUGACGGGACAGUGUGGGAUGUCCUGAGGGUCCGCAGUCCAUUUCUCGGUGGGGGACAUGUUUGACGAGUAUUACAUAAACAUCCGGAAGAACAGUUUGCACCAGUUCUGGAAGAACCAUCUGUACGAAAGCCGCAGGUCCUGAAGCUGUCGUACCGGAUUACUUCCAAAGGUUGGAGCGAUAUCAGACGAACCUGAUCAAGAACAUCUACCUGGAAUACCGAAGAAGUCACCGCAACUCCCGCCCGCAAACUCUCAACUCGCGACGGCGCAGCUUCGGCCGGAUGAACUGGCAACAUCUGUGCCAUUCUCGAAGGAGGACGAUGUGAUCGGGAACGUCGACUUACCUUCCCGACUUACCUUCUCGAAUUAACACCCAAUGGCCAACUCCUCCAAGCCUGUCCUGAUGAUGGCCGGCAACGAGACCACCCUGUUCUCUACAUCGCUGUCGCGCUCCAAAAUGUAGGCCGCGAUAUUAAGCUGCAUAAGCAG